rnacentral:rRNA from 1 species
AGAGUGCGUAAUAGCUCACUAGUCGAGAGGUCCUGCGCCGAAAAUGUCCGGGGCUAAAACACAACACCGAAGCUUAGGAAUUCUAAUGAAUUGGUAGAGGAGCAUUGAAGACGGAACGAAGCCAUACCGGAAGGAAUGGUGGACUGUCUUGAAGAGAGAAUGCCGGAAUGAGUAGCGAGAUUGAAGUGAGAAUCUUCAAGGCCGAAUAUCUAAGGUUUCCAGGGUAAAGCUGAUCUGCCCUGGGUAAGUCGGGGCCUAAGGCAAGGUCGAAAGACGUAGUCGAUGGAUAACAGGUUGAAAUUCCUGUACUGCAUCAAAUCAGAAAUGUGGGGACACAUGAGGGAAGCAUGAGCCGGAAAAGGAAAGUCCGGUACAAGCGCAGCAGAGGACAGAUAGGCAAAACCGUCUGUCAACUCGAGGGCGUGAUGUGGAGCGAACCAAAGUAGCGAAGCAUGUGGAGCUUGUGUCGAGAAAAGCCGCUAUAGUGUUUGAUGUACCCGUACCGUAAACCGACACAGGUGGAUGAGGAGAGAAUCCUAAGGCCGGCGGGAGAAGCAUUGUUAAGGAACUCGGCAAAAUGACCCCGUAACUUCGGGAGAAGGGGUGCUCCAGAGAUGGAGCCGCAGAGAACUGGCCCAAGCAACUGUUUAGCAAAAACACAGGUCUAUGCAAAACCGAAAGGUGAGGUAUAUGGGCUGACGCCUGCCCGGUGCUGGAAGGUUAAGAGGAGAGGUUAGCGCAAGCGAAGCUUUGAAUUUAAGCCCCAGUAAACGGCGGCCGUAACUAUAACGGUCCUAAGGUAGCGAAAUUCCUUGUCGGGUAAGUUCCGACCCGCACGAAAGGCGUAAUGAUUUGGGCACUGUCUCGACAAUGCACCCGGUGAAAUUGAAAUACCAGUGAAGAUGCUGGUUACCUGCGCCAGGACGGAAAGACCCCAUGGAGCUUUACUCUAGCUUGAUACUGGGGUUCGGUAUUGCAUGUACAGGAUAGGUGGGAGACGAAGAGGCAGUGACGCCAGUUGCUGCGGAGUCGAUGUUGGGAUACCACCCUUGCAGUACUGGGCUUCUAACCUGCAGCCGUGACCCGGCUGGGGGACAAUGUCUGGUGGGGAGUUUGACUGGGGCGGUCGCCUCCGAAAGAGUAUCGGAGGCGCUCAAAGGUUCCCUCAGAAUGGUUGGAAACCAUUCGAAGAGCGCAAAGGCAGAAGGGAGCUUGACUGCGACACCGACGGGUGGAGCAGGUACGAAAG